AGCCGCGGUAAUUCCAGCUCCAAUAGCGUAUAUUAAAGUUGUUGCAGUUAAAAGCUCGUAGUUGAAUUUCGGGGUCAGUAGAUUGGUCAUGCCUCCGGUAUGUACUGGUCUUACUGGCUCCUCCUUCCUGAUGAACCGUAAUGCCAUUAAUUUGGUGUUGCGGGGAGACUGGACUGUUACUUUGAAAAAAUUAGAGUGUUUAAAGCAGGCUAACGCUUGAAUACAUUAGCAUGGAAUAAUGAAAUAGGACGUUCGAUCUUAUUUUGUUGGUUUCUAAGAUUGACGUAAUGAUUAAUAGGGAUAGUUGGGGGCAUUAGUAUUCAAUUGUCAGAGGUGAAAUUCUUGGAUUUAUUGAAGACUAACUACUGCGAAAGCAUUUGCCAAGGAUGUUUUCAUUAAUCAAGAACGAAAGUUAGGGGGAUCGAAGACGAUCAGAUACCGUCGUAGUCUUAACCAUAAACUAUGCCGACUAGGGAUCGGAUGAUGUUAAUUUUUUUAAUGACUCAUUCGGCGCCUUACG
rnacentral:rRNA from 1 species